rnacentral:rRNA from 1 species
GAUGAACGCUGGCGGCGUGCCUAAUACAUGCAAGUCGAGCGAACAGAUGAGGAGCUUGCUCCUCUGACGUUAGCGGCGGACGGGUGAGUAACACGUGGAUAACCUACCUAUAAGACUGGGAUAACUUCGGGAAACCGGAGCUAAUACCGGAUAAUAUAUUGAACCGCAUGGUUCAAUAGUGAAAGACGGUUUUGCUGUCACUUAUAGAUGGAUCCGCGCCGCAUUAUCUAGUUGGUAAGGUAACGGCUUACCAAGGCAACGAUGCGUAGCCGACCGGAGAGGGUGAUCGGCCACACUGGAACGGAGACACGGUCCAGACUCAUACGGGAGGCAGCAGUAGGGAAUCUUCCGCAAUGGGCGAAAGCCUGACGGGGCAACGCCGCGUGAGUGAUGAAGGUCUUCGGAUCGUAAAACUCUGUUAUUAGGGAAGAACAAAUGUGUAAGUAACUAUGCACGUCUUGACGGUACCUAAUCAGAAAGCCACGGCUAACUACGUG